rnacentral:rRNA from 1 species
UGAGUACGAGAUGCUACGGCAUCGAAGCAGUCUAUGUCAUACUUCCAAGAAAAGCUUGCAAUGUCAUAAACAAAUAAUGCCUGUACCAUAACCGACACAGGUGGGUAGGUAGAGUAUACUAAGGGGCGCGAGAUAACUCUCUCUAAGGAACUCGGCAAAAUGACUCCGUAACUUCGGGAGAAGGAGUGCCUUAUUUUUAUAAGGUUGCAAUAACAAGAUCCAAGCAACUGUUUACCAAAAACACAGGUCUCCGCUAAGUCGUAAGACGAUGUAUGGGGGCUGACGCCUGCCCAGUGCCAGAAGGUUAAAGAAGUUGGUUAGCAUUAGCGAAGCUGAUAACUGAAGCCCUGGUGAACGGCGGCCGUAACAAUAACGGUCCUAAGGUAGCGAAAUUCCUUGUCGGGUAAGUUCCGACCCGCACGAAAGGCGUAAUGAUUUGGAUACUGUCUCGGAGAGGGGCUCGGUGAAAUAGACUUGUCUGUGAAGAUGCGGACUACCUGCACCUGGACAGAAAGACCCUAUGAAGCUUUACUGUAACUUGAGAUUGAAAUUGGACUUUAUCUGCGCAGUAUAGGUGGGAGACGUUGAAAAUAUUCUUGCGGGAAUAUUGGAGUCAUCAGUGAGAUACCACUCUUAUAAUGUUAGAUUUCUAACUUUGUAUCAUUAUCUGGUCAAAGAACAGUUUCAGGCGGGCAGUUUGACUGGGGCGGUCGCCUCCCAAACGGUAACGGAGGCGCACAAAGGUUUCCUCUGAACGUGUAGAAAUCGUAUCUAGAGUGUAAAGGCAUAAGGAAGCUUGACUGUGAGACCUACAAGUCGAGCAGGGACGAAAGUCGGUCUUAGUGAUCUGUCGGUGCUGAGAGGAAAGGCCGUCACUCAACGGAUAAAAGUUACUCUAAGGAUAACAGGCUGAUCUCCCCCAAGAGUUCACAUCGACGGGGAGGUUUGGCACCUCGAUGUCGGCUCAUCGCAUCCUGGGGCGGUAGUACGUCCCAAGGGUUGGGCUGUUCGCCCAUGAAAGCGGUACGCGAGCUGGGUUCAGAACGUCGUGAGACAGUUCGGUCCAUAUCCGGUGUAGGCGUUAGCAUAUUGAGAGGAGCCUUCUUUAGUACGAGAGGACCGAGAAGGACAUACCUCUGGUGUACCAGUUAUCGUGCCAACGGUAAACGCUGGGUAGCCAUGUAUGGAGAGGAUAACCGCUGAAAGCAUCUAAGUGGGAAGCCCACCUCAAGAUAAGUAUUCAC